rnacentral:rRNA from 1 species
AACGAACGCUGGCGGCAGGCUUAACACAUGCAAGUCGAACGGGUGUAGCAAUACAUCAGUGGCAGACGGGUGAGUAACACGUGGGAACCUUCCUAGGGGUACGGAACAACUCAGGGAAACUUGAGCUAAUACCGUAUACGUCCGUGAGGAGAAAGAUUUAUCGCCCUUAGACGGGCCCGCGUCGGAUUAGGCAGUUGGUGGGGUAACGGCCUACCAAGCCUACGAUCCGUAGCUGAUCUUAGAGGAUGAUCAGCCACACUGGGACUGAGACACGGCCCAGACUCCUACGGGAGGCAGCAGUGGGGAAUCUUGGACAAUGGGCGCAAGCCUGAUCCAGCCAUGCCACGUGAGUGAAGAAGGCCUUAGGGUUGUAAAGCUCUUUUACCAGGGGCGAUAAUGACGGUACCUGGAGAAUAAGCCCCGGCAAACUUCGUGCCAGCCGCCGCCGUAACAC